rnacentral:rRNA from 1 species
UACGUAGGUGGCAAGCGUUGUCCGGAAUUAUUGGGCGUAAAGCGCGCGCAGGCGGCCUCUUAAGUCUGAUGUGAAAGCCCCCGGCUCAACCGGGGAGGGCCAUUGGAAACUGGGGGCGUUGAGUAUAGGAGAGAAGAGUGGAAUUCCACGUGUAGCGGUGAAAUGCGUAGAGAUGUGGAGGAACACCAGUGGCGAAGGCGACUCUUUGGCCUAUAACUGACGCUGAGGCGCGAAAGCGUGGGGAGCAAACAGG